CGAAACAUCUGGCUGAUGAAUUUUGGAGGCGAUGGAUCAAGGAAUACCUUCCGGUGAUUGCGAGACGCUGCAAAUGGUUCGAUAACGUGAAGGACUUCAAGGAGGGAGAUUUGGUGUUAGUAGUGGAUAGCUCAGUGAGAAGUCAGUGGACCAGGGGUCGAAUUGAAAGAGUGCUUGUAGGAGCUGAUGGACGUGUGCGGCAAGCAUGGGUGCGGACGAGUAGCGGAGUCGAUCGCAGGUCGGUGGCUAAUCUGGCGUUGCUCGACGUCAUGAAGGAUGGUGACCCCAACCAAAAGGAUGGUAGCGGCUCACGGGUGGGGGAGUGUGACGACGUUAACCUCCCCACGAUGGAGAUGACCUAAUUUGAACGUAGCCUAUUCUUUUCACUGGGUCUGUCAUGAACAAUAGUUGUAUCGAUAUCAGUGACAGAAACAUCAACAAACCAAAUAGCCAGCUAGUUACACGUGCAUUGGAGCAACUUUAUUAUUUUUUCCAAUUAUUCUGUGCUAAUUUGAAUACUACAUUAUAUAAAUCCUACCUAGAAUAAAUAAUUACGCGUGGAUUAUAUAACCCAAAAUUAAGAAAACCUAUAGGGACGAAUUUUGUUUGGUGAAAGGUUACUGAAAUUUUCUAAAGCGUAUCCUCAAAAACAAUUGUGUUUGGGACUGCUAUAAGAACUUCGGUGACAACA